AUUAGUUGUGCCCAAACAUGUUUAUUAUUUCACAAUUCCUAUUGUUGAGCCGAAAUAACAUACAUGCCAUAAGCGUAUACAUUUUGCGCAAAUUCGAGCAUACUGCAUAAAUGGCUCGACGCGUGAUCUUGUUUGUUGUGGCCCAAGCAAUCGUUUAACAAUCGAGUUAACGGGUAGGACAAAGGAUCAAAUGAAAAGUGUACCGUCGGCAUUGGAAUAAUUCAAAGUAUAUCACGAGGAGGUUGAACGGUCAAACUUGAACCACGUAUGGCGUAUGUGUAGUGUCUGUCUGUUUAGUAUGUGUAAUGCGUGUGUAAUAUGCAUACUUAAUGUGUGUGUAAUUAUUAUUUGUGUAAUGCGUAUUUAGUUUCUGCGUGCUUAGAGUGUAUAUAGGAUAUGUGUUUUUAUAUGCGUUUCUGGCACAUGUGUAGUAUGUGUUUAUUGUUCGAACUAUACACAGUUUGUGUGUAUAGUACAUGCGUUUAUUGUAUGUUAUAGCGCGCCUCUAUGGACAAUCGAUGCCAAAAAAUUAUAAGGUAACGGGGAGAAAAUAGCCGCUUUUAAAUAAAUUAAACAUACACACGCACUUAUCGCACACAUACUAUAUAUAAUGAACAGCCAGACACUAUCAAUACACGGCACAUAAUAUUCAAGUGUGACCAUGCAAUCUCCUCGUGGUGUAUCUUGACUUAUUACAAUACCAAUAGCAUUUUUUAUAUUUCAAAUGUCAAUAAAAAGCAACAAGAAGACGUACGACAACCUUUAGUUAUAAAGGCGAGACUUAUCUUUACAAAGUUAUCUUAAAACGGAUCUUGAAGGAAAUUUUUCAAACUCCACAGAGUCAUUUAAAUUUGUAAAAUCUUCGUAAAGAAAAAGUAUCUUCAGUUCCCCAGCCGUUAACGAAAAAAUAAACACAAGAUUGUAAAGGAAAAAGCUUCGUGUUUUAAAAUGAGCCGAGAUAAAUUGUUAUCCAAUUUUUUUCACAAAAUUACGACAGUUUUAAUAUCGACAAUUUUUCAUCUAAAAUGCAGUCAGCCUUUAACUUUGUACGCUAAUGUAUUAUCAUAUCUCACAUAUUUUUUUUUGCAUGAGAAAUCAUACUUUAUAACGACAAUAUUAAUCUCGUGAUAGAUAAAACAGAAUUUGACGAGGCAGUCGGUCAAAAUACUAAUUCUCAACUAGGUAUAUACGGUACCUACGGACGAGCUAUGGUACCGGAAUAAGAUCUUUAUAUACAUGAUACAAUUUGAUUCAGAUUAAUAAAUACUAAUAAGCUAGUACAAAUGAGUGCUAGUGGAUCAGGUCAAAUAUAUCCAGGAGAACAAUUAUCGAAUGGGCCCAAGUGAAUCAAGAUUGAUUAGAUUAAGUCACAUGAGACAAUGUGUUCAGGAAAUGGGUCUGUGCCACUGAUAUCUCAAAUUCGCAAAUAAUAUUUGGAAGGUCAGAACACCUGAGUAGCAUAUCAGAAUCAGGCUAUAUAAAUGUGACUGGAUCACUAGGAUCAGGUCAUAUAAAUUCGGGUGACCGACCUAGGCUAGAGCAUAUGGGCACUAACAGUUCAUCUAAAUCAGGACAUGUCAGUACAAGCUUCCCCAAGUGCACGAAUAAAUCACGACUAUUGAGUUCAAAUUUUCCUGAGCAAAUAAGCACAAGAACACUCUUGUUACAAAGAGAAAUAGAUGAAGUUGGAAGUCAAUUGAGUUUAGAGACAAUGAUAAAGUCAAAUACAAUUAAGUUAGACAAAUAAGCAGUAGCCGGAACGGACCCGAACGGACUGAAAAUCAUUUCUGGCAUUACAGCAGUGGAGAGUAAAAUUUUAUCCUUUUUAAAAAAAAGGAACAAAGGAAAAUGACAAUCCCUUUACUCCAAAAAAAGCCCGGUGAAAAUUCCAGUCAACAAGAGCAAAUAUGCUGAUGAAAGUGAAUUACAUAUCGACACACCUUCGAAAUAUUUCGAAUAUAACGAUUAUAACACUCCAAUGACGGCAAAAACAAAAAGAAUUAAGGAAUGAAAGAAUUAAUUAAUCAAAUCGGCCAUGAGGAGGCAGAAAAAUAUAAGAGAUCUUACAAAAAGCGAGGAGGAAAGGAUAUCCUCGCAAUCAGAAAGAGAAAUAGAAUACUCCAUUAAACAAGUGGAAGUGAAUGUGUUAAUUAAUACGCUAACUGAAGUGAUUCUAAACACAAACAAAAUAAAUACGAGACUUCACCUAUUAUCCAAAAAAAAGAUGCGGAAGUAGCAGAGAUCACUAAAGAGAAUAACGAACAUAUAAGUGGCACUUCUGAGUGGAUCCAAGGAUUAAAUAAAAAAAUUAAGGGUAAGUGUUAUGUCGCGUAAGACAUCCCUCCACUCCAUCCCUCGCUGCUUGACAGCUAACGGUCCACAUACCGUCAUUCCGACACUCAACAAACCUAAGAACCCACCAUAAACCUUUAACUUUUAAUUUCAGUGUUUCAACACAUGUUUUUCAGUUAAUCUGUUUGUCCUAAGGGUUUUUCUAAUCCCAGAAAUUUUUUCGGUUUAUGGCUGGUUUUUAGAAAAAUCCUUGAGUUUAUCAUACGCUCUUAAAAAUUACGGAGAAAGCAGGUAGUGACCUAACGGAAAAAGCGGUUAUUUAUCUAACGGAAAGUCCGGUUCUUCCCUUAAACAAUGACACCAACUAGCAACAUUGGUAGGAGGUUCCUUUCCCUCUCAUCUCUCAUUAACAUUGACUAAAAUCAAUGGACAUCGCAGAUCGUUGCCCUGUCCUUACUAACGAAAAGUGAGCAACGAAUCCGCUUUCUCCGUUCAAAAAACCACACCCACACCGAGCUUUCCUCCGUAAUUGCAUGAGAGCGAAAAGUCAGUCAGUUCAAUUGCUAUUCCUGUUAUACUAAGAAAGUCAACUUCUUCUUAUAUUCAACUGCAAGGGCCUUGCUCUACUACGAAAGAACAGUCAGUGCUCAUCUAUCGGAGUGUCAUACUUCAAAGUAUCGUUUACGACAUUGAUAUCAUGACUCUUGAGUGUAUUAAGUGUUGGAAAUAUAAAUUUUAUAACCCUAUUAAUCGCAGUGUUAUACCGCAUCAAUCGCCCCUAUUAUCCCACAAGAAAUAAGAGGAUCGAUCUGUUCGUGGUGUCGAUUCUUAUAAUCCUAACGGGAAUUUACGACUUCCGUUGACGCGCUUCCUCGCGAUCGCGUCUCCCCGCGAUCGCGUCUCCCCGCGAUCGCGUCUCCCUGCGAUAGAUCGAAAAUACAGUAAGGAUUACACCGGCCAAGGAAACGGUUACUCAUAGAAAAUCGGUGGCAACGUCGCGCCCUAAAUAGUAGCUACAAAACACACAUUGAUACAAAAAGGACACUACCAAAUUAGUAAAAGGCAACAGACCUCCCCAGUGGAAGACAAAGGGAAAGAUCUCAGGAAAAGAUCUAAGAAAGGAGCGUUGGCGUAGAUAAAGAUUACACCGAGAAGGAAAACAAUAGUAGUGAAAUUAAUGAAUGGAAAGUUCAAAUAAAUAAGGAAACACUUAGAAAAGAGAAGAUUAAAAAAAAUCGAAGAAUACCAACCCAAAAGGAACAGCAGAAAAGUGAAAAAUCAGCAAAGAAUUCGCAAUAGACCGAAAGCAAUACUUGUCAAGGUCGAAAGUGGAAAAGAAUGUGUCGAAACCUACAGAGAGCUUGAGAUCUAUGGAAGCUCUCAAGAAAACGACUGGUGUUAGGAAGACAAGGUACGGGAAUAUCUUGAUCGAAUUAAUAAAAGCAAAAGCAUCAGCAAAUGAGAUUUCAGAGAAAAUAAAGACGGUUACGGAAAACCGAGUACAGUCAACACCACUACAAACUAUGGUGUCAUUGGAAGUCAAAAACAUCGAUCCGCUGAGCAAGGAAGAGCUCAGAAGCGACAUUUGUAGUAACUUAAGCAUAAGUAACAGAAACUGUGUCGACGUCAAAACACUGUCAAUAAACCCAUGGGGAACAUGACAAGCCAUAGUUGUGAUCCCCGCAUUAACUGUUCCUGCCAAUUAUAACAAUUUAAAAAUCAGAGCAGGAUUGACAGUAACAAGCAUAAAAAUCUUGCCCAAAAUCAAUAGAUGUUUUAGGUGUCAUAAAAUAGGACACACCUCAAAUCAGUGCAAAGAAGUUAGCUCUGGAAAGGCACUUUGCGGGAAAUGUAGAGUUAGGGGUCACAAUAUGGAGAACUGCAUUAACGAACCACGUUGCGCCAUGUGCAGCGCUCAUGGUUUAGCAAAUAAAAAACGUGUCACUGGGUCAUUGGUGUAUCCUAUAUACAAAAGAGCGAUGAAAGAGAGAAAUACUAGAAUAAAAAGAUAAAGAUUUUGCAGACAAAUUUAAAUGGCUGCAAGUUGGCACAGGAUUUAAUGUACCAAUGCGCCUAUGAAAUCAGAGCAGAUAUCGUUAUCAUCUCUGAACCAAAGAAACAAUAGAUGUACUGGUACAAAGACAUAAAAGGUGAUGCAUCCAUAUAGGUUACAUUAUUUAACAGUGCACUUCCAUGUGAUGAUACCAUAAUACAGGAAGACGGUAUGGUGGGAAUAAGAAUAGGGGAUAUUUCCUACAUGAGUGGAUAUUGUUCCCCUAACAUUAACAAAGAUACCUACUAUAAAUAUGUUGACAAAUUAGAAAGCUUAAUGAAAAGGAUAUAUAAAAAACAAAGUAAAAUACUUAUUGCUGGCGAUUAUAAUGCAAAAUCGGCAGCAUGGAGCGGAGAUAAAACCGACAAAAAGGAUAGAACCUUAAUGGAAGCUUUGGUAAGAAAUGGAAUUACAACCAUAAAAGUGAACAAAAAAUAUAUCUUUGUUAGGGGCAAUAGUAAUAGCUAUCUUGACAUAGUGAGUGUAAAUAAUAACCUAGCUAGGCUUUAUAAAAGAACAAAGGUCCCACAAAUUUUUAAUUUAAAUUUAACAGAAUUGAGGUCAUUAUAAAUUUUCGACGAAGGGCUUCGAUCCGGACAGGUUUAUUAAUAAAUUUGACGAAAUAAAAAAUAAUGUAAUAAUUGUUGAAGUGGUCAUCACUUCUAAGAAAACUCUACAUCUGGUCUUUUUAGUUUUCUCAAGCACUGAAGCCAUCGACAGCGUGUAGACAAAAGACUGCGACAAAGUCAGACCAUAAACAGUAGACAGGCGACGUUGUCUUCGGGAUUUUCAAUUAUUGGGUAACACAGCUAGCAUGCGGACCUGGACCAGCUCAAAUUGAUGAACCAUGGGGAAUUUCUCCACAAUAUUUUAGAAAAAACGCGUGAAGCCGAAUUAAAAAAAGUCUUUCUACCAAGGGGUAAGAAGAACGAGAUGAAUGAGUGGAAUGAGAAUAUAGUUCCACUUUGAAAAAUGGAAAAUAAAAGUAGAAGGGCUGUAUUAAAUAGCCAACAAUGCGGAGGAUCUUACCAAGAUAUAUAAGCAGAAUAAAAAGGAACUGAAGAUAUUAAUUCAGAAAGGCAAAGAACAAACGUGGAAGGAAUUCGUUGCAGUCUUAGAAUGGGAUCCAUAGAGUAAAUCCUAUAAAAGCGUUAUAAAUAAACUAAAAAAACAAGAAACCAGUAGAUAACAUAAAUUCAAAUAAAAUUAAUAGCAUUAUAGAUACACUUUUCACCACAAAAACAAACAUAACUGCCGAAGAAGAGAGGCGGGAUGGUAGUUACGAGGAAGUAACAAACGACGAUGUAUGUAUCACCGUCCAAAUGGAGGAGUUAGCGAAUGCCAUUGGACGAUUAAAUUUUAAACGGGCAGCUGGCGUGGAUGGGGUCUCUGGAACAAUAUUUAAAUUAUUAUUUAAGCAUAAAGCUCACGACAUACUAAGCAUGAUUAAUACUAUAUACAAAAUAAAUAAAAUACUUAAAAAAUGUAAAAUUGCCAGAGUAAUAUUGCAAAACCAGGAAAUAAUCCCCUCCUUCCUUCUUCCUAUUGGCUCAUAAGUAUACUACCUGCGAUGAGCAAGAUAUGGGGGAAUACUUCUAAAUCCUCCACUGAGAAAUAUCUAGGGCAGGAGCCAUAUCACAAAAGCCAGUAUGGUUUCCGCAGAGGCAGGAGCACAGUUGGUCCCAUCAAAUAGGUUAAAAAAUUUGCAGAUUUCUGCAAAAAGAAAAAUUUAGUAUACAUCCAGAUAGCUGUCGACAUUAAAAAAUGUUUUCAACAUCCUUAGAUGGUAUACAAUAAUUAAGGAAGCCAGGCAAAGAAAACUUCCAGGAAACUUAUUGAUAUUAUAUGAUUACCUGAAGGACAGAGAGAUUAUAAUUCAAAGCAUUAAUGGAGAAUUUAAAAGUAAUGUCUACGCUAUUAUUAUGGAAUUUAGUGCACAAUGGACUUCUCAAUAAAUUUGAUAAUAUAAUAAAAUUUACAAACUGUAGCCUUUGCAGAUUAUUCGGCAAUUCUAAUGGGUGUCAAUAAAGAAGAAAGUAUAGAAAAUAAACUAAAUAUAAACAUAAACACAAUUAUGACCUGGUGUAAUAACGCUGGAUUGCAAAUUGCAAAAGAAAAAACAGAGAUUAUUCUAUUGACUGGUAUGCUAAUACCUAAGAUAAUAAAUGUAAAUAUUAUAAAUACGCUAAUUACUACAAAUAACACUAUUAUAUACUUGGGAUUAACAAUUGACAACAUCAGAAAUUACACUGCGCAUCUGGAAACAUUAUGCUGUAGAGCUGAUGCAUUUAGUCAGAAUGUUGAUAGUACUACUUCCCAACAUAAAUGGUCCUACUAACCUAGUUAGAAGAUUGUUCUGGGAAUCGAUGGUACUAUAUGCCUCUCCUGUAUGAGCUGAGGCUCCGAAAAUGACUAAAAAUAAAAAAAAUAUUAAAAACAGUACAAAGAUUGGCCAUAAUGAGGAUGUCAACAGCUUAUAGAGCUGUCUCUUAUGCAGCUCUAUGCAUGUUUCCAGGCAACAUGCCAAUACACAUUAAAGCACAGCUGCAAAAAAAAGAUAUAUGAGGUGAAAAAAGGCACAUAUUAAACACGGCAGAAAAUAUAACCAAUAGGGUGCAAAACUCACUCAAGGGAGAGAUAGAACAGUUGGAAGAAACAACAAUAGAGGAUUGGAGAAAGGAAUAUAAAAGAAAUUGGACAAGAAAAUUGAUAAACAACGUAGUCAUCUUUAUAAAGAAUAAAAAACUUAUUAACCAUUAUACAAUGCAAAUACUUACCAGACAUGGUAUCUUUAACACAUAUAGAAUCAGAAUAAAUAAAGAAAGCAAUAACCAAUGCUGCGAUUGCAUUGAAGAGCUCGAUGAUACUGAACAGGUAUUGUUUAGAUGUCCAAGAUGGGCUUCCCAACAUAUAGUCUGUGAAAACCAUGCUGGUGAAAGUUUAAGCACCAAGAAUACGAUUACAUUAGUUACAGCAGACAAUGAUAUAUGGAAUCACUUCCAAGUAUUUUGUGACUCCAUAAUAAACUUUCUAUAAAGCGUAGACACAGGAUAUAGCCCAUAAAAGCUAUUUUAACCAAGAAGUGAAGAAAUUAAUUAUCUGUUAUCUAUUUUUAUUUAUUCUGUUCUGUCCAUCUACUUAAUUAACUAUAGUAAUUGUUUAUUUAGUUAUCUUUUUAUUUAUCCAUUAAUUAAUUAAUUAAUUAAUUUAUAA